AGUGAACGCUGGCGGUAGGCCUAACACAUGCAAGUCGAACGGCAGCACAGUAAGAGCUUGCUCUUACGGGUGGCGAGUGGCGGACGGGUGAGGAAUACAUCGGAAUCUACUUUUUCGUGGGGGGUAACGUAGGGAAACUUACGCUAAUACCGCGUACGACCUACGGGUGAAAGCAGGGGAUCUUCGGACCUUGCGCGAUUGAAUGAGCCGAUGUCGGAUUAGCUAGUUGGCGGGGUAAAGGCCCACCAAGGCGACGAUCCGUAGCUGGUCUGAGAGGAUGAUCAGCCACACUGGAACUGAGACACGGUCCAGACUCCUACGGGAGGCAGCAGUGGGGAAUAUUGGACAAUGGGCGCAAGCCUGAUCCAGCCAUACCGCGUGGGUGAAGAAGGCCUUCGGGUUGUAAAGCCCUUUUGUUGGGAAAGAAAAGCAGCAGGUUAAUACCCCGCUGUUCUGACGGUACCCAAAGAAUAAGCACCGGCUAACUUCGUG
rnacentral:rRNA from 1 species